rnacentral:misc_RNA from 1 species
AACCUUAUGGACCUGCGGGCGUAUACCUGCGGAAGGAUCAUUACAAGUGACCCCGGUCUAACCACCGGGAUGUUCAUAACCCUUUGUUGUCCGACUCUGUUGCCUCCGGGGCGACCCUGCCUUCGGGCGGGGGCUCCGGGUGGACACUUCAAACUCUUGCGUAACCUUGCAGUCUGAGUAAACUUAAUUAAUAAAUUAAAACUUUCAACAACGGAUCU